rnacentral:misc_RNA from 1 species
GGGCUCUUGUUGAUGAAGGUGGAGGCAUUCGACCACAAGAACAGUAUUGCAAGAGCAAGUAUCAAGCCAUGGCAAACCAAAGUGAGAAGAUGAUACUCGAUCAAUUCAAACAAGACCCAAACAGCAGUUGCACCACCAAGAAUUCCUCCUGAAAUCUUCUUAUUCCUCCAGAGGAAAAUGUCAGCAGGUUUGCCGCCACCAAGGACCUUGUGGACGGGCUUUUCACGGCCAAAGAUGCGAUGAAUCUUCGAUUUGAUGGAUGAUGGAGGCGACUUUGAUUUCUCGUCGUUAUCGGAAUCAGAUGACGACGACGAAUCGUGACUGUGAAUUUUCUCCGAUAUCUUAUCCAUCAA